rnacentral:rRNA from 1 species
UGCAGUCGAGCGGUAGAGAGAAGCUUGCUUCUCUUGAGAGCGGCGGACGGGUGAGUAAUGCCUAGGAAUCUGCCUGGUAGUGGGGGAUAACGUUCGGAAACGGACGCUAAUACCGCAUACGUCCUACGGGAGAAAGCAGGGGACCUUCGGGCCUUGCGCUAUCAGAUGAGCCUAGGUCGGAUUAGCUAGUUGGUGAGGUAAUGGCUCACCAAGGCGACGAUCCGUAACUGGUCUGAGAGGAUGAUCAGUCACACUGGAACUGAGACACGGUCCAGACUCCUACGGGAGGCAGCAGUGGGGAAUAUUGGACAAUGGGCGAAAGCCUGAUCCAGCCAUGCCGCGUGUGUGAAGAAGGUCUUCGGAUUGUAAAGCACUUUAAGUUGGGAGGAAGGGUACUUACCUAAUACGUGAGUAUUUUGACGUUACCGACAGAAUAAGCACCGGCUAACUCUGUGCCAGCAGCCGCGGUAAUACAGAGGGUGCAAGCGUUAAUCGGAAUUACUGGGCGUAAAGCGCGCGUAGGUGGUUCGUUAAGUUGGAUGUGAAAUCCCCGGGCUCAACCUGGGAACUGCAUCCAAAACUGGCGAGCUAGAGUAUGGUAGAGGGUGGUGGAAUUUCCUGUGUAGCGGUGAAAUGCGUAGAUAUAGGAAGGAACACCAGUGGCGAAGGCGACCACCUGGACUGAUACUGACACUGAGGUGCGAAAGCGUGGGGAGCAAACAGGAUUAGAUACCCUGGUAGUCCACGCCGUAAACGAUGUCAACUAGCCGUUGGGAGCCUUGAGCUCUUAGUGGCGCAGCUAACGCAUUAAGUUGACCGCCUGGGGAGUACGGCCGCAAGGUUAAAACUCAAAUGAAUUGACGGGGGCCCGCACAAGCGGUGGAGCAUGUGGUUUAAUUCGAAGCAACGCGAAGAACCUUACCAGGCCUUGACAUCCAAUGAACUUUCCAGAGAUGGAUUGGUGCCUUCGGGAACAUUGAGACAGGUGCUGCAUGGCUGUCGUCAGCUCGUGUCGUGAGAAUGUUGGGUUAAGUCCCGUAACGAGCGCAACCCUUGUCCUUAGUUACCAGCACGUCAUGGUGGGCACUCU